GCGGCUGUAGCUCAGUGGAUAGAGUAUUGGCCUCCGAAGCCAAGGGUCGUGGGUUCGAUUCCCCCCAGCCGCA
rnacentral:tRNA from 1 species